UACGGAAGGCAGCAGUGGGGAAUAUUGCACAAUGGGCGAAAGCCUGAUGCAGCUAUGCCGCGUGUAUGAAGAAGGCCUUAGGGUUGUAAAGUACUUUCAUCGGGGAGGAAAAAACAAAACUAAUAAUUUUAUUUCUUGACGUUACCCGAAAAAGAAGCACCGGCUAACUCCGUGCCAGCAGCCGCGGUAAUACGGAGGGUGCUAGCGUUAAUCAGAAUUACUGGGCGUAAAGAGCACGUAGGUGGUUUUUUUAAGUCAGAUGUGAAAUCCCUGGGCUUAACCUAGGAACUGCAUUUUGAAACUAAAAUACUAGAGUAUCGUAGAGGGAGGUAGAAUUCUAGGUGUAGCGGUGAAAUGCGUAGAUAUCUGGAGGAAUACCUGUGGCGAAAGCGGCCUCCUAAACGAAUACUGACACUGAGGUGCGAAAGCGUGGGGAGCGAAACAGGGAUUAGAUACC
rnacentral:rRNA from 1 species